GAUUAGCCAGGAGGGCUGACGCACAACUCACGUACCUAGAGAGGCUACAUGAUAGAAUGUGGGUAAUGAAUUGUAUUUUUUAACCAAACUUCCAUCUACGAAAGCAACGGGUUACCGUGUAGCUGCAGCUCCUCAUCAGUCAAUUCGUCCACGUCCAGUGUCAGCGUACAGUGGCAACAUGCAAGGUGGGAGCCCAUGAUGCUAAAAUGUGACGUUUGACCAUAAGGAAACAACCCCAUGGAACCCUCCAGUAGCUGACAGUAUGUCGUCAGCAGUGGAGGCCAGUAUGUACAACAGUAUCCAGGCCAUCCUCAGACAGGCUGCCUCCUCAUGCAACAAAGGUAUGCUGAGGUGGACUCUUCAUAAGAAGGUGGAGACCCAUCCAUCUAACAGUGUCUCACUGGUCAGGGUUCUGGUCAAAGAGCUAGAGAAGGUGGAGAGGCUUGACUAUAAGAUGCAUGUCAUUCCAUUGCUUCACACUCUCAACUACGUUAUUAUUCAGCAGUCUAGCCACAUUCCAUGCAACCUGUUUCAGAGAAUGUAUGAAUGCUUCAAAAGGCUCCUAACACUUCCAGAGCCCUACUGUACUAUCGCACUGAGAUACAUGAGAGGCAUAAAGAUGGAGCAGAUCACACCAGCUCCCUCCCCGACAAUAACUUCCUCCACAGGAGCUUUGUAUCAGAGAAGGGUGAUUGCUGAGCAGAGCCUAAGGAACAAACAUUUCCCCCAGCAGGAAAAGGUAUUUGUGUUUGCAGACCCGGCUGUGUUCUCAGGGCCCCUGUGGCAGGCGGUGAGGGCAGACCUGGUGCUGGCCAGCCCCCAAAACGACAUACUGGCAAGACGGGUGUUACUGCACACUCUGCAGGCUGGACUGGUGAAGGCCUGUCAUGGUCCCAUACUGACUCAAGCUCUGGAGGAUCUAGGAGAAGAUGUGGAGCAGUACUUCCAGGAGGUGGUGUUAGCUGUAGAGCAGAGUAUAGAGAACGGCGAGGCAGGCCGUGACCAGUACCUAACCAGGCUACAGCACAUCUACAGGGACAUCCUGACCUCUGCUAACCAAGACCCAAUUGCCGGUGGCUCUCUUUCUAACACUCCAUUGCCCUUGCCAGAGAUUCAGUUCCACCUGUGGACAAACGAAGAGGAGCUGUGGAAUGAGCUGGUAAACUUCACCCUAAACGUUUCCACCUCUGAGCGGAACUCUAUGUACCAGGAGGAGGAAGAGGAGGAUGUUUCUAAGAGGGUUUCCCACCUGUCUGUUGAUAGUGGAAUAGAGAAGGACCUGUCUGACAUGGGGGAGCGGGAACAGAGGAAUCCAUUCACUCGGUCACGGUCACCGUGUUUCAGAGGGAGAAUGAAGCCAGAAGACAAAAUGGCUCUGGUACAGGAAAACAUCAAGGGGCCCACCUGUAGCACCCCUCUCCCUAAAGAGGAGGGGAACCAUACCGCACGCAUAGUGAUGAUGGGAGACGACAGGGUGCUGGGGAGACUGGCCAAGGUGUAUCACUCCAUCCGAAAACGGGAGGCAAAACAUCUCAUCUUGACCAAAAGAGUGAACCUACAGAUAUACUACAUCCCUGUCACUGAUGAGCCUAUUGUCAAUUCACCUGAAAGCACAUCACAAGUCAGAGACAGGUUGUCUCUAGCCUCGUUCUUAGGAAGGGUCGAUCCCUGGUACGAAAGCAACAUCAUCAGUUUGGGAGCCAUGAUUCCAAAGCUGGCAGGAACGCAGUCCAGUCACAGCAGGUCAUCAGAACCCAACCACUUCCUUGUGGAUGUCCUCUCCUACUACCUUCGCUGUGGCCUACAGCCUGUCCACUUCACACUCUACUCUGUCAAGAUCUCUGUCUCUGGCCAGACUGGCAGCCCUGUGGACGAUGUGUUUGUGUCCCACCUGGAUGCUGAGUUCCCGGAGUCUAAAACACUCAGAGAAAAUCUGAGACAAGAGAGAUCUAGUAGGCGACGAACAAGGAAGACACUUGGAACCUGUGGAGCGGUGGUUUCUGUGAAUUACAGUAAGGUCUCCUUGAGCAAACAAGAGGUUGUUCAGGGAAUGUCAGUCAUGACAUGUGGAGUGGGCAUCAGUGCAAUAUCACCCAAUGAAUCAGAAGGUCUUGAUUUCCUCACUGUCAAUUUUGACAGUACAAAUCCAAGAUGCUGCACGGAGAUCAGAACCCAAAACAUUAAAAUCAGAAUCCUGGAGGAUAAGACCUUCACUGUCUGUCUGGACAAAGACUGUCGCAGGAAAUACACACAUGUGCAAAGCAUUGAGAUCUCUCCAUGUUUGGAUCCAGGGUAUUGCCUCCAGACAAGUUCCAAGUCCAAGUUCAGUGUGGGAGAGGAGAGGGAGUCGGGGCUGAGCAAAUACAUGUGCAAGAUCCUGCCUCUGCCAAUCAAUACCUUCACUGGCAUCAACCACUGAAGGGAUUUGAUUAUUUGGCCCGGGCUCCAUCCCAGGCGUGAGCCAGGUGCCCCGCUCUGGCCAACGGCGAAGUACAUGUGAAUCAAUAAUUGGAAGAAGCAAUUUCAUAAAUUCAUUAAGUGCAGCGUCAUUAAUCAUGCCCAGCUUUUGGAACUUUGGCUUUCCUGGAUAUAGCCACUAUAUUGUGAUCACUACAUCCAAUGGAUACGGAUACAGCUUGAGAACAAGGUUCUACACUAUUAGUAAAAAUGUGGUCAAUACAUGUGGAUGAUCUUGGUGAUCUUGAUGAUCUUGACCCUGGUUAUUUGUUUCUGAGUGAUGCAACAUGUGCCGAGUAGACAACAUGAUGGAGCAUGACGGACUCCCUUCCGGCACCGACAGAGAUGGCCGCCUCGCUUCGCGUUCCUAGGAAACUAUGCACCCGAUGUCACAGGAAGGCCAUAAAGAUCAUCAAGGACAACAACCACCCGAGCCUGUUCACCCCGCUAUCAUCCAGAAGGCGAGGUCAGUACAGGUGCAUCAAAGCAGGGACUGAGAGACUGAAAAACAGCUUCUAUCUCAAGGCCAUCAGACUGUUAAACAGCCACCAUUAACAUUGAGUGGCUGCUGCCAUACAUGUAAAAAAUGUAUCACUAGUCACUUUAAACAAUGCCACUUAAUAUAAUGUUUAAUAUAAUGACUCAUCUCAUAUGUAUAUACUGUACUCGAUACCAUCUACUGCAUCUUGCCUAUGCCGUUCUGUACCAUCACUCAUUCAUAUAUCUUUAUGUACAUAUUCUUCAUCCCUUUACACUUGUGUGUACAAGGUAGCUGUUGUGAAAUUGUUAGGUUAGAUUACUCGUUGGUUAUUACUACAUUGUCGGAACUAGAAGCACAAGCAUUUCACUACACUCGCAUUAACAUCUGCUAACCAUGUUUAUGUGACAAAUACAAUUUGAUUUGAUUUGAUUUACUGUUCAAUUUGAGAAUUGCUCUCAUUCCCUCACCACAUUUGCCCAUUCACGUCAUGGGCCAUAGACAGGUGCACUGUGGUUCAGCUUAAUCAAUGCCAAUGCCUAGUAGUGUGGGUGGGGUUCAACAAGCACAGAACAUUUUUUUAGAGCUGUCACUCCUGUCUACAAAAGUGCAGAGAUAUUCAUGAACUUUUGUCAUUUUCUGUAACACAGCAUAUCACUGUAUAAAGACAUAUUUAUCAGUUGUAUAUUUCCAUGCAAAUUCAUGAUGGACAGUCCAGUAAAUUGUUGAUGUUUGAAAUGUAUUUAAUUUGGAUCGCUUUCUACAGUGCUUGUUUGCAAUAAAUGUUCUGUUUACACUAUGCUAUUAAAGGAAGGCACUGUGUUAGUAAACACAGAGGAAAUUACUUCUUAUAUCUUACCCGAUUUAAAUGUUUUGAAUGAAUAUCAUAGUUUGACUGUGUGGAUAUUUUGUAUGAAUAAACUGAGUUAA